GGGGAAUAUUGCACAAUGGAGGAAACUCUGACGCAGCGACGCCGCGUGAGUGAAGAAGUAAUUCGUUAUGUAAAGCUCUAUCAGCAGGGAAGAUAGUGACGGUACCUGACUAAGAAGCUCCGGCUAAAUACGUGCCAGCAGCCGCGGUAAUACGUAUGGAGCAAGCGUUAUCCGGAUUUACUGGGUGUAAAGGGAGUGUAGGUGGCCAUGCAAGUCAGAAGUGAAAAUCCGGGGCUCAACCCCGGAACUGCUUUUGAAACUGUAAGGCUAGAGUGCAGGAGGGGUGAGUGGAAUUCCUAGUGUGGCGGUGAAAUGCGUAGAUAUUAGGAGGAACACCAGUGGCGAAGGCGGCUCACUGGACUGUAACUGACACUGAGGCUCGAAAGCGUGGGGAGCAAAC
rnacentral:rRNA from 1 species